rnacentral:rRNA from 1 species
GUAGGGAAUCUUCCGCAAUGGACGAAAGUCUGACGGAGCAACGCCGCGUGAGUGAAGAAGGUUUUCGGAUCGUAAAACUCUGUUGUUAGAGAAGAACAAGGAUGAGAGUAACUGCUCGUCCCUUGACGGUAUCUAACCAGAAAGCCAUGGCUAACUACGUGCCAGCAGCCGCGGUAAUACGUAGAUGGCAAGCGUUGUCCGGAUUUAUUGGGCGUAAAGCGAGCGCAGGCGGUUCUUUAAGUCUGAUGUGAAAGCCCCUGGCUCAACCAGGGAGGGUCAUUGGAAACUGGAGAACUUGAGUGCAGAAGAGGAAAGUGGAAUUCCAUGUGUAGCGGUGAAAUGCGUAGAUAUAUGGAGGAACACCAGUGGCGAAGGCGACUUUCUGGUCUGUAACUGACGCUGAGGCUCGAAAGCAUGGGGAGCAAACAGGAUUAGAAACCCUAGUAGUCC